rfam:Picea glauca, whole genome shotgun sequence.
UCAUAUGUACAUGCCUACAACGUUAAUGCACCAGAUCCCAUUAUAACUAUGCAGUUAAGUGCAUUUAGGCUAGAUUAGUACUAGGAUGGGUGACCUUUCGGGAAGUCCUAGUGUUUUACAUGCC